rfam:Strongylocentrotus purpuratus Contig145231_fixed, whole genome shotgun sequence.
AAACCGGCUCUUUUAAGAGCCACCAAAUAACCAAGAAAGAAUACAG